AUGGAAACCCUGGUUGCUGGCUAUGAGGAGGACACUAGUUCCAAGCAACUCUUGACCGAACUAUCAGUAACAGGGAGAAAUGACAAGGGCUACUCAUUGGAUAAUGGUCUGCUUCGCUACAAAGGGCGUAUUUGGGUUGGCCAAAACCCUUUGGCUCAGCAACACAUUAUGCAGUCCCUCCAUGCCACUGCACUUGGCAGCCAUUCGGGGGUGCUUGGGACAUAUCAGUGUGUCAAGAAACUCUUUGCCUGGGCCAAGAUGAAACGAGAUGUUACAGAGUUUGUGCAAGGCUGUAGCGUGUGUCAGCAGGCCAAGCCGGAACACUAUCUUCUACCUCGAGUUCUUCAACCUCAUGAGAUUCCCCCUCAUCCAUGGCACACUAUAAGCUGGGAUUUCGUGGAAGGGUUGCCUAAGUCAAACGGCUUCGAACUCAAGAAGCAAGUUCCUCCAUGGUUCUCCAUCGAGCCGGGCAUGGGCAUGGUCGAACAAAGGAGCUUGACACUACUUCAACCCGCGACGAUCUUGCAGAUGAAGCUCGUUCAGCAAUGCGGUGCGAUCAAGCCAAGGUUCAAGAUUCGCUGGAAGGAUUGA
rnacentral:rRNA from 1 species